rnacentral:rRNA from 1 species
UGUGUAUCAGUACAUGGCAUAUCAAUAAGCGGAGGAAAAGAAACUAACAAGGAUUCCCCUAGUAACGGCGAGUGAAGCGGGAAGAGCUCAAAUUUGAAAUCUUAAAGGGUUUCCCUUUACGAAUUGUAGUUUAAAGAAGUGUUUUCUGUUGGAGUUUCGGUAAAAGUUCUUUGGAAUAGGACAUCAUAGAGGGUGAGAAUCCCGUAUUUGACCGUUACUUUCCAGCUGUGUGAUACACUUUCAAAGAGUCGGAUUGUUUGGGAAUGCAGUCCAAGAUGGGUGGUAAAUUUCAUCUAAAGCUAAAUAUUGGCGAGAGACCGAUAGCGAACAAGUACCGUGAGGGAAAGAUGAAAAGAACUUUGAAAAGAGAGUUAAACAGUACGUGAAAUUGUCAAAAGGGAAGCGUUUGACACCAGUGUUGUUUAGUUGAAAAUCAAUUCAAUAGUUUUUGAUUCUAAGUAGUAUUGACUUCAUCAGCUUGCUGCUUUCUUCUCAGAAAUUAUUGAAUGCACUUUUCAGUUAACAAGUCAACAUCAAUUUCUUUUGUUGUAAAAGGGUAAGAGGAAGGUGGCUUGCGCUUCGGCUCAAGUGUUUAUAGCCUUUUAUCUCUGCAGUCGGAGAGAUUGAGGUCUGCAGCGUAGACUCCUUCGGGGUUAGAUACAUUGUGCUAAGCUAUAGCCUUUUCAUAGACAACUUGUUGACUAUGCUCUAGUCUGUAGCUUACUCGCUUAUGCUAUUUUACCUACGCUUAGGAUGUUGACAGCAGUAUAGACUGU